AGUGAACGCUGGCGGUAGGCCUAACACAUGCAAGUCGAACGGCAGCACAGUAAGAGCUUGCUCUUACGGGUGGCGAGUGGCGGACGGGUGAGGAAUACAUCGGCAUCUACUUUUUCGUGGGGGAUAACGUAGGGAAACUUACGCUAAUACCGCAUACGACCUACGGGUGAAAGCAGGGGAUCUUCGGACCUUGCGCGAUUGAAUGAGCCGAUGUCGGAUUAGCUAGUUGGCGGGGUAAAGGCCCACCAAGGCGACGAUCCGUAGCUGGUCUGAGAGGAUGAUCGGCCACACUGGAACUGAGACACGGUCCAGACUCCUACGGGAGGCGGCAGUGGGGAAUAUUGGACAAUGGGCGCAAGCCUGAUCCAGCCAUACCGCGUGGGUGAAGAAGGCCUUCGGGUUGUAAAGCCCUUUUGUUGGGAAAGAAGAGCAGCAGGUUAAUACCCCGCUGUUCUGACGGUACCCAAAGAAUAAGCACCGGCUAACUUCGUG
rnacentral:rRNA from 1 species